UUGCAUCUGUCCCUGCAGGCGGACAAACAAGCAGACAUUCUGAUUGGAUCCAUCUUCGUUAGCGGCAAGACCAAGUGAGAACUGCUCGACAAUAUAGUGAGGAGGAUAUUCAAGGAGUACGUGCUGCGCGUGGAUGCCGUCUCUAAUCUGGGUCUGAGCGCGGACGCGGUGCACAGCUACAGCAUCGGUGACGUCGUGCGAUGCCAGGACGCCGACACCGCCCCCCGACCUGCUGCCCUGCGGCUACCUGGUCGCAGACAACAUGCAGAUCAAGCUGAGCAUCAGGGAUGCGCAGCAGCACUGCGUGGAUGCUCUUGCCUACGUCUCGACGCUCAUCCCCAAGUCGAUCAUGUAGCGCUACACGUCCAUGCCGCUUGAGCAUCGCCGCAUCACUCUGUGUGGCCCCAGCGGCACAUGCAAGAGCUACCUAUGUCAGCGGCUGGCCGAGUACCUCGUGCUGCGGUCGGGUAAGGAGUCAUCGCCUGGAGCCAUCGCCUGGAGCUGCUCCGCAUCCUCGCCAACCUGCUGGGAGAGGUUUCCUCGUCCAAUGGAUGGCUCCAGGCGACCUGCAUGCAACGACGUCAUUAAUCGCUUUUAUCGAUAGUUACAACAAUCUGUUACUUACAAGCUCAGAUGUAUUAUGUUUGUUAUAUGUUACGUAUCAAUGACUCUCUGAAUAUGAGGAAUAUAUAUACACUGUAGUGUAUCGAGUUGUAAAUGUAAAAGGUGCAAUAAACUGUAGAUUCGAAAAUUGCUACCAUUA